AAAUGUAUACGUGACAAAUAAGUAUAACAAUUGUUAUUACUUGAAAUUCCAAGUUAAAUGUAAUUUAUCAGUGCUAAUUUUUCCGAAAAUAAAAAAUGAACACAUAUUUAGUUUGUAUAUAACGUUAUUUAAUGGAAGUAUAAUAAUAUAAUAUUAUAAUAACUAAUAUAUUAUAUGAGUCAGCGUGUAUAGUAUUCGCUACAUUAGGUAUUUCGGUUUGGCAAUAUUGUUUACUAUAAUAAUUGUUCGAAGUGUUUAAAUGCACUUUAUGACAAUCAGGUUGCUGGAAUUUUGUUGGACAAUUAAAAAAAAUACGUUUACUGGUUAGCCAUUGGUAAUACACUGUUUAGUAAAGUAAGGCUAUCGGUUUCACAUCGACAAACGGAUUUAGCCCCAAUGGUUUUUUUUU